UGGGGAAUAUUGGACAAUGGGCGAAAGCCUGAUCCAGCCAUGCCGCGUGUGUGAAGAAGGUCUUCGGAGUGUAAAGCACUUUAAGUUGGGAGGAAGGGCAUUAACCUAAUACGUUAGUGUUUUGACGUUACCGACAGAAUAAGCACCGGCUAACUCUGCGCCAGCAGCCGCGGUAAUACAGAGGGUGCAAGCGUUAAUCGGAAUUACUGGGCGUAAAGCGCGCGUAGGUGGUUUGUUAAGUUGGAUGUGAAAUCCCCGGGCUCAACCUGGGAACUGCAUUCAAAACUGACUGACUAGAGUAUGGUAGAGGGUGGUGGAAUUUCCUGUGUAGCGGUGAAAUGCGUAGAUAUAGGAAGGAACACCAGUGGCGAAGGCGACCACCUGGACUAAUACUGACACUGAGGUGCGAAAGCGUGGGGAGCAAACA
rnacentral:rRNA from 1 species